UUAUUAUGAUGACUAUUUCAGUUCUGCUUCUGAAUAUUUUUUGAAGAAAAUUUAUACCCACACAUCUGACAC